rnacentral:rRNA from 1 species
GAUGAACGCUGGCGGCGUGCCUAAUACAUGCAAGUCGAGCGAAUGGAUUAAGAGCUUGCUCUUAUGAAGUUAGCGGCGGACGGGUGAGUAACACGUGGGUAACCUGCCCAUAAGACUGGGAUAACUCCGGGAAACCGGGGCUAAUACCGGAUGACAUUUUGAACCGCAUGGUUCGAAAUUGAAAGGCGGCUUCGGCUGUCACUUAUGGAUGGACCCGCGUCGCCUUAGCUAGUUGGUGAGGUAACGGCUCACCAAGGCAACGAUGCGUAGCCGACCGGAGAGGGUGAUCGGCCACACUGGGACUGAGACACGGCCCAGACUCCUACGGGAGGCAGCGGUAGGGAAUCUUCCGCAAUGGACGAAAGUCUGACGGAGCAACGCCGCGUGAGUGAUGAAGGCUUUCGGGUCGUAAAACUCUGUUGUUGGGGAAGAACAAGUGCUAGUUGAAUAAGCUGGCACCUUGACGGUACCUAACCAGAAAGCCACGGCUAACUACGUGCCAGCAGCCGCAGUAA